CAUUAAUCUUAUUUUACACACACUGACAGCUACCUGAAAAAUCUGUCAAACCUAAAUUAUUAAAUUUGUUUUUUCAUGAAAUAGUGCAGCGGUACAUUAAGAGCGCUGCCUAACUAGAAGCGAGUUCUGGGAAGGUUCUAUUCUGGACAGAGGUGUAUGGUGAAUUGAAUCUAGCACGUGCUUGAAUUAUAUGUAAAUAACACAAUGUUGGAGGUGGACAAAAUGUUGGAAAAAUGCGGCGAUUUCAAUCGGCAGCAGCUAAUCAUGCUGCUCCUCUGUUCUCUGAUCAAUUUACUAUCAGCCAUGCAUGUCGUAUCACACUGGAUAAUAAUUAUUGUGCCAAAGCAUUGGUGUGCUGAUGGGCUAGACUCGGGGCCACCACCACCAAAUAUAGACGAAUGCAAGCCAUUCUACUUUAAUUCAAGCAACUCUGGCUCCUGCAAUAAGUACCACUAUGAGUCAUACAUGGGCUAUCAGGGUUUUGUCAGCGAAAUGAACUGGAUAUGUGAUGAAAAGUGGAAACUUAGGAAGGGAAAGUACAUAUUCUUGGCGGGCUGCGUGAUAGGCAGUCUAAUUAUGGGCUAUUUGGCAGAUAUACUUGGUCGGGUGCCCAUUCUAGUUUUUGCCAAUGUCAUUACCGUAUUGGGAAACUUUUUGACAAUCUUUGACAUGAGUCUGGAACUUUUUUGUAUAUUUCAAUUUAUUACCGGUUUCGUCGUUAACAGCAACUUUUUGAUUAUUCGCAUUCUUAUUCUGGAAUAUAUGCGUCCUUCUUUGCGCACCGUUUGCCUGAACAUCUGUUACGAAUUCUCUAUCUGUUUGGGCCUGGUAAUUUCACCUUGGAUUGCGAUCCUCAUGGGUAGUUGGCGUCGUUUCAUGCUUCUCGAUGCGCUGCCAAUAAUUGUGGUGCCGUUUUUCUAUUAUUUUGUGCCGGAGAGCGUACAAUGGCUGAUCUCAAGGCAGAAAUAUGACAAGGCUAUAGAGUCCCUGAGACGUGUGGCCAAGAUUAAUGGCCGCCAAAUUGAUGACAGCGAUUUUGAGGAAUUCAUUGAGGACUGCAAAUUAUGUCAGCAAAAUACGAAGACCAACCCAAAUCUGCUGCACCUCUUCAGAACGCCGCGCCUACGCCGCACCUUUCUUAUAAUAAUUUUUGAAUUCUUGGUAUUUUCCUUCUACGCCAAUGUCGUCUUUCAUUAUAUGGAUAUCCCUGGGAUUUCGCCAUUUGUAAGGUUCUCACAGGCUGCAACUCGUAAUCUGCCUGCUAGCUUGGCAGCAAUUAUCUUGCAAGAUCGCAUCGGACGCAAGGCGUUGGCUUUUACAAUAUUGCUCCUCAUGUGCAUUUUCAUGUUGGUAACGGGCGUUGUCCUCUCAUCCGCUGCUAACCGCUCCCCCAGAGUACUGAUUACGUUUUAUAUUAUUGGGGGCAUUUUUAACAAACUUGGCGUCAACUCAAAUAUUCAGCACAGCUUGGAGCUAAUUCCAACAUGUGUGCGUGGUCAGGCAUUGGGUGCUUUUUGUACCAUAAGCUAUGCGGGAUUAUUAUACGAAGAUUUCACGAACAUACGUAAAAUCUUCUUGCUGCUGCCGGAAAUCAUUCUAGGCGUGCUCACUUUGCUGGGUGCCGGAUUGUUCUUACUGCUGUCGGAGACACUGAAUCGCACGCUGCCCUGUUCACUGGAGGAUGGCGAGAAGCUUGGCAUUGACGAGCAUUGGUACACAUUUAGCUGCAUGGAGAAGCGCAAGCAGCCGGAAGAGCUUGAUAGCUCGUUGGCACCGCGAAAUGGGAUAUAAGAAGGCAAUUUCCUGUAAUACCUAUCAAAUCUAAAUCAUAACAUUUUUUUUUCACGAAACUGAGACUAAGCGGCAACUCAAAGCGUUCGAUGACUGUAAUAAUUAAGUGAAUAAGCAAAUUAAACAAAAUGAGAAGCGAUGCAAGUGCCACAAGUGCAGCGGUACACUGUGAAGUUCUAGUCUCUGUUCUUGUCAAAGAUACACAUCUUCUAAAUGAGAACUUGACCAUGCAUUACGAAUCUCAAGCGAUAAUCAAUUUUUUGGUAUGCAUAAGGACCAUAUUUAUUACAUGGCGUAUACUUAACGCCCGUCAAUAACACCCAGGUGUGCUGAUGGGCUAGACUCGGGGCCACCACCACCAAAUAUAGGCGAAUGCAAGCCAUUCUACUCGAAUUCAAGCAACUCUGGCACCUGCAAUAAGUACCACUAUGAGUCAUACAUGGGCUAUCAAAACUUUGCCAGCGAAACGAACUGGAUAUGAGAUAAGGCGUGAAAACAACCUGGAAGACUCUGCGCUCCGUGUUAAGCACUCUUGUUCUGGGCUAUAUGGGGGGGACAGGGUGCGUCGGCUGCCCGCUCUUAAUUUGGACAUUUCUAUUAUGGGCAACGUUUUGACAAUCGUUGGUAUAAGUCUGUUCACUGUUCAAUCGAUUACAUGAAAUAAAAAUUAAAACCAU